UAAAAAUUAGUUAAACUAUAACACAGGUUUGUCAGGCCUGAAUUAUUACAGCAGUAAUAUUUUUAA
rnacentral:tRNA from 2 species